UUAAGGAAGUGAAAUGUUUAUUUUAUAUAUACACAUGGUUAUUUAGGAGACAAUGCAAGCUGGCAGAUGCUAGGCAUUGUAUAUGUCACUGUAUAGAGAUCAUUGAUAUUUUAUGAUUGGUUAAUGAGUGAUCAUGUGAUUAUAGGCUUGUAUGUGAUUGGUUUACAUACCAAUGAUGGCUUGGUAUAAUUAUAGUGGGAAACUUGAAUUUAGUUAAGUUUUGUACAACACUUCAAGACUGAAGUUCUCUCUUCCGGCAAGGGUGCCGUGAAUGCCUCUGUUGAUUGCUGAGUUGACAUUAAAGUUAAGAUUUGAAAUUACAGUAUAUCUGUGUUGGCUGAAUUGUUUGAAGUACAUUGGUUUGCUGGAGUUGAUGACCAAGAAGUGUGCUAAUUGUGUUUAAAUCAAGUACAGUACAACCAGAAGACGUGAAGUACAGAAGUCAGCUACAGUAUAGUAAAACAAAUACUAUACAUCGUCACAACUUAUAUACAACGUUACACAGCUGUAGAGUGACAUCUUAUCUUUCAAAUAUAUAAAUGUGAAACUAGCGGAAAAAUGAGGAAAACGCGUGCGGAAAUACAAAAGGCGUACAAAGAGAGGAAGAAAUUAAAUGACCCUUCAUCUCUGGAAAAUUAAUGUAAACAACAAGCUGAUUAUCGUGUACCUGUUUAUUGAUGAUUUGACAGAUAUGUUACCAUACAUGUUCCUAACUUUGGAUCAUAAUAUGUAUAUUCCAGUAGAAUUAUUUCUGAUUCUUAUCUUUUCAUCGGGAUGAUAAUGUCCGAGUGCGUGUUUGUAUGGAAAAUAAAUCCAAAAUGACAACCUUCUGGGUUAUAUAUAGCAACUGCUGCUAAUUUGACUCUUCCAAUCCAGAGACAAAAACUGUUGACAGUGGUCAUUAUGAAUAGAAAAUGUGGGUUUUUUCUUGUUUGACCAUUAAUGUCAUUAAAAAAAUGUCCUUACAGUGACUGCACAUCACUAAAUGCAGUUCUUAACUGCAAACUUACAUUCAUAUCCAAUGACUAUAUCUGAAACCAACCAUUUUAAAGAGAUAAACUUGUGGUAACGUAUCUGUUAGUUUAUUAAAGACAGCUAAAAAGUGUCAAUUUUUAAAUGCUUUUCCUCAAAAAUCGGGUAUUGUUAAAAAUCGCCCAUGCAUUGUUUCGUGUUGUGCAACUAUUAAAGUUUAUAAUUUUGAAA